GACGAACGCUGGCGGCGUGCUUAACACAUGCAAGUCGAACGGAAAGGCCCUGCUUUUGUGGGGUGCUCGAGUGGCGAACGGGUGAGUAACACGUGAGUAACCUGCCCUUGACUUUGGGAUAACUUCAGGAAACUGGGGCUAAUACCGGAUAGGAGCUCCUGCUGCAUGGUGGGGGUUGGAAAGUUUCGGCGGUUGGGGAUGGACUCGCGGCUUAUCAGCUUGUUGGUGGGGUAGUGGCUUACCAAGGCUUUGACGGGUAGCCGGCCUGGGAGGGUGACCGGCCACAUUGGGACUGAGAUACGGCCCAGACUCAUACGGGAGGCAGCAGUGGGGAAUAUUGCACAAUGGGCGGAAGCCUGAUGCAGCAACGCCGCGUGCGGGAUGACGGCCUUCGGGUUGUAAACCGCUUUCGCCUGUGACGAAGCGUGAGUGACGGUAAUGGGUAAAGAAGCACCGGCUAACUACGU
rnacentral:rRNA from 1 species